rnacentral:rRNA from 1 species
UUGACCUCGGAUCAGGUAGGGAUACCCGCUGAACUUAAGCAUAUCAAUAAGCGGAGGAAAAGAAACCAACAGGGAUUGCCUCAGUAACGGCGAGUGAAGCGGCAAGAGCUCAAAUUUGAAAGCUGGCCCCUUCGGGGUCCGCAUUGUAAUUUGCAGAGGAUGCUUCGGGAGCGGCCCCCAUCUA